UACGUAGGUGGCAAGCGAUACUCGGAAUCACUAGGCGUAAAGCGCAGGUAGGCGGUUCGGUAAGUCUUUUGUGAAAGCUCCUGGCUCAACUGGGAGAGGUCAAAGGAAACUACCGGACUAGAGUUUGGUAGGGGAUACUGGAAUUCCUGGUGUAGCGGUGAAAUGCGUAGAUAUCAGGAGGAAUACCUAUGGCGAAAGCAGGUAUCUGGGCCACAACUGACGCUGAGCUGCGAAAGCUAGGGGAGCAAACAGG
rnacentral:rRNA from 1 species